rnacentral:tRNA from 1 species
GGACAGGUGGCAGAGUGGUCGAAUGCGCACGCUUGGAAAGCGUGUUUACCGCAAGGUAACGAGGGUUCGAAUCCCUCCCUGUCCG